GCUGGGCGCAGUCACACACACCUAUAGUCCCAGCUACUUGGGAGGCUAAGGGAGGAGAACUACUUGAGUCCAGGAGUUCUAAGUUGUAGUACCUUAUGUCAAUCAGGUGUCUGCAUUAAGUUCAGCAUCAAUAUGGUGACCUCCGGGGAGCAGGGGACGACUAGGUUGCCUAAGGAAGGGAGAACCGGCCCAGGUUGGAAACAGAACAGGUCCAAACUUCCAUGCUAAUCAGUAGCGGGACUGCACCUAUGAAUAGCCACUGCACUCCAAUCUGGGCAAAAUAGUGAGACUCUGUCUCU
rnacentral:SRP_RNA from 1 species